UACGUAGGGGCAAGCGUUGUCCGGAUUAUUGGGCGUAAAGAGCGUGUAGGCGGCCGUACAGGUCAGCUGUGAAAACUCGAGGCUCAACCUCGAGACGUCGGUUGAAACCGUACGGCUAGAGUCCGGAAGAGGAGAGUGGAAUUCCCGGUGUAGCGGUGAAAUGCGCAGAUAUCGGGAAGAACACCCGUGGCGAAGGCGGCUCUCUGGGACGGUACUGACGCUGAGGCGCGAAAGCGUGGGGGAGCGAACAGG
rnacentral:rRNA from 1 species